rnacentral:lncRNA from 1 species
GGACCCACAUUCCCCCCAUGGAGCAUUUUUGCCAGAAAGAAGAGCAGCUGAAAGGGAUCUCCGGUGCAAGCAGGUGGUGUGCUGGAGGGGUUAAGCAGGGGCUUAACGCUAUUUCACAGGGCAACAAGACCAAAGUGGAAUUCAAAGCAGGGCGCACACCAGGAGGUGUGCUUAAGAGAAGAGUGGCGGCACGCGGUAGACUGAAGCUCUCCCGUGCCGCCGCGCCCCCUCCUCCCGCCCCGCCACCCCCCGCAGGAAGCCUGGCAAGAGACUGGAGCAGUGGUGCAGGUGGGCAAUGGAGGGAUGCUGCAGUGGGACGCGUGGCCGUGGAGGUGGUAAUAUAGAGUAACUAAGACAUCAUUUGCUGGAGGUGGCCAGUCAAGCAAUUUGUGAGGAAAGGUGAACUGAAAACUCCACCUUGGGGAAGAUGGCAGCGUGGGGGAAGUUGGUGAUGGAACACCAGGAAGAAGCCAAAGGAGCAGCUGAACCAGGCUCGCGCAGCCCCUCUACAAGAUGGCCGCCCUGGAACCACAUGACGGGAAGGAGGCGGAGCUCUGCCCCAGCUCGCCAAGCCCCUCCCCGCUCGGCCCCGCCCAGCGCCCCCUCCCGCCGGGCCGCGCGGGUUAUGAGGUGUCUCCGUGAGGCGCCUGCGCAGUGGGCAGCGGCGCGCGGGGCGGAGGCUUUAUAACCACUUAGUCGCCGUCGCUCGGCUUCCAGCUCUCGGAGGGCGGCUGAGGCGGCGGCUGCGGCGCCUGGGCGCCGGCUGAAGGGGCUGAGGCGGCGGGAGCUGUGGCGGCGCUGGGCGCCCCUCGCCCCUCGGCCUCUGCGGGCCAUGGGCUCCGAGAAGGACUCGGAAUCGCCGCG